rnacentral:rRNA from 1 species
CAGCCGCCGCGGGAAUACGCAGGGUGCGAGCGUUAAUCGGAAUUACUGGGCGUAAAGCGUGCGCAGGCGGUUGUGUAAGACAGGUGUGAAAUCCCCGGGCUUAACCUGGGAACUGCGCUUGUGACUGCACAGCUAGAGUAUGGCAGAGGGGGGUGGAAUUCCACGUGUAGCAGUGAAAUGCGUAGAGAUGUGGAGGAACACCGAUGGCGAAGGCAGCCCCCUGGGCCAAUACUGACGCUCAUGCACGAAAGCGUGGGGAGCAAACAGGAUUAGAUACCCGUGUAGUCCCUGUCUCUUAUAC